GGCUCUGCGCCGCCUUUUCUCCUGCAGCUGUCUCAGGGGGCAGCCGGAGGAGUGAGCCCGGGGCCAGCAUCAGGGCGUUCAGCAAAGAUGCCGGCUCGCCCUGAGGAUGCCCAGCUCCCCGGGGCAGCGGCAGGUCCCUGAGGUAACGGCACCAGGGUGAUCCAAAGACGGGAUGCAUGGAUGGAUGGGUGGAUGGUGGCCAAGGCAACCACUUGCCAAGGAUAGGAAAAUGCCUCCCUGGAUACCAGCAACAACAUAGACUGGUGAAAGGUGUUAACCCCGGCUGAAUGACCUGGUGUCCUCAACUCCAUAAGAAGCACCAGGGCCCCAGUGCAGAAGCUCCCAUUGGGGAAGGAGCAAUGGGACGCCACUUGUGACCAGCAUCUCGAAAUUUCCUCUGUCUGACAUCUUCCCCUCCCCACUCCCACUCUUCCCCACUCAAUCCCACUCUUGUUCUUCCCCACCUCACCCCAACCCAGCCUAACCCUUGCUCUUCCCAUUCUUUCCUUCUCAUUAUCCUCUUUCCCAUCCCUUUCUCUCUGCCCCACAUUUACUGUUCAAUAAAGCCCCCAUUGUUCACUUUGA